AUGUCCAUGAUGGGUGAGCUGAAGUUCUUCCUUGGUCUUCAAAUUCGUCAGCAGAGGAAUGGCAUCUUCAUAUCUCAAGAGAAAUACCUCAAAGAUUGUCUGAAGAAGUUUGGAAUGGAAGACUGCAAAGGCUACACGACGCCAAUGCCAGCCAAACACCAUCUUGGUCCUGAUGACAAUGGUAAAGAGUUCGAUCAAAAGGUAUAUCACUCCAUGAUUGGUUCUUUGCUUUACUUAUGUGCAUCUAGGCCAGAUAUUAUGCUUAGUGUUUGCAUGUGUGCUCGAUACCAAGCGGCACCAAAGGAAUCGCAUCACUUAGCUGUGAAGCGAAUUCUUCGAUAUUUGGCUUACACCCCAACACUCGGAUUAUGGUAUCCCAAGGGCUCAAGAUUCGAUUUGGUUGGAUUCUCGGAUGCUGAUUAUGCUGGUGACAAGGUGGAUCGCAAGUCAACAUCAGGCACAUGUCAUUUUCUUGGUCGAUCACUUGUCUGUUGGUCUUCGAAGAAGCAGAACUGUGUAUCACUCUCAACUGCUGAAUCUGAAUACAUUGCUGCUGGAUCCUGUUGUGCUCAGCUUCUAUGGAUGAAGCAAACUCUCAAGGAUUAUGGCAUCAACCUGAAACAAGUACCUCUCUUCUGCGACAACGACAGUGCCAUCAAAAUAGCCAAUAAUCCAGUCCAACACUCGAAGACAAAGCACAUUGAAAUUCGUCAUCACUUUCUCAGAGAUCAUGUUAUGAAGAAAGAUAUCAAUAUCAUUCACGUCAACACUGAAGAGCAACUGGCAGAUAUCUUCACAAAGCCCUUGGAUGAGAAAAGGUUUUGCAAGUUACGGUGUGAGCUAAAUAUCUUGGAAUCCUCUAAUGUCCUGUGA
rnacentral:rRNA from 1 species